UUUACACCAGAUUGGUGCAUCAGUGUGAUCUUAUAACACUCUGUUCACUUCUCACGAGUAAACACUCCCUGCCAUGGCUUUCUGUGACCUCUGAGGAGCCUGCUGUUUGGGGAGCUGCAGUGGACCCAGCUCUUCUGCCCUCGCGCCUUUAAGGGGGCGCUCACAAGGGGCACCUGAGCACAGCUGCAUCUCGCUCACCAGGAAGCCCCUAGCAGCCAACCACCAGAGCGUCACUGCAGUCCAACUCUGAGCCCCCACUGAGAUUCUUUAGAAAAUUAACCGAGGCACUGGACACGAAGCAUCUAGAGCUCUCAGGCACACACAAGGCCAGGUUAAAGGUUUGUAUUUAUGCAGUUGCUGAUGCAACCAUUUCCAGAAAGAUGUGGGUUUUUUAGACAUCUCAAUGACCUAUGCAAACUGCUCCCUAUAAACUGGUGGAUUACUGAAUGAACAGAUUUAUUUAUAAAAGGAAAUAAAAAUCAAACACACAUA